CCUCCAUUCAAGUUGUUUCUCUCUGCCUCCUCACUUUAGCUAAGCUCUCAAGACUCAAGAGCUUAGUAUUUCUUUUGAUGAAGCUCUUGAGGUCCCAAACUUUAUGCUAGCGUUUCUCUUUAAUCUCGUCAUUUUCUGAUCUGUUUCUUCAUUAUUUCUUAUUCAGAUCAUAGUUCUCAAUUUGUUUUUAUUUUUUUUUUGGCCUCUGCUACUUCACUGUUGGAAACCAGUAUUACAGAAACAAGCUCAGUUGGUUCUUGGGUUUCUGUCAGUUUCUUGAUAGGUCUGAUCAGAUGGUGAGAAAUGGGCUUUAUCAAUGAGAUGCAGAAAGUAUAUAUUUACUUCGAGAAGUUUCUUUAGGUUUUCAAAAAACUUUUGAUACAAUUUUUUCACUAUGGUUAGAGGUAGAGUAAAAGGGAAGAAACAAAACAUUAUCACUGCUCGUGAGGAUCCUGGGAGCUCAGAAGCGCAUAAGAUUCCACCAAACAGGAGAAGAGGAAGGCCACAAAAGCCUUUGAAGGAUGAUAUUGGAGACGGAAAAACUCAGAAGAUACAAGAUGAGGAUGAGAAAAGUCAUAUUUCUCGCGAAGACGUGAAAGACCACUCUAGUAUAGAGAAUGGCACAAAAAGGAAGAGAGACGCUCAUGUCAAUGAAAAUUUGAACUCCAUCCAAGAGGAGAACAGCAUGGAAAUAAAGUCAAGCCUUGAUGAUCCUACAGAGUCUGUUGGAUUCCGACAAAGUGGGAGUAGGCGGAAAAACAAGCCUCACCGAGCUGCUGAAGCUGGUGUUCAGUGCAAAUAGUUCAGUUUAGCUAUUCUGAUGCUUGCCUACCUUCGUUUCCAUCAAUGAGGCUAAUUCAAAAGCAUAAGAGAGGCCUUUCUGGUUCACCUAUCAUCCCUUAAAUUUUGUUUGGUAUAUGUUUUGUUUUACCAGUAAUUUCUGAGUUACUUUCCUUGGUAGUGAGGUUUUGGAAAAUUAUUUCUUGUAUCGUUCUCUUUAUUUUAUUAGUUGCCAGACAUGUUUUGCCUUAGCUUACUCAAAUUUAGAUGAAAUCCCUUCAAUUUUUCUUGUUUUUGUGUUCAUUAUUUUUCGUUCCCAAAAGGCAUAUGUUUUCCCGUAGCUUAAUCACAUAUCUGAUGAAUGUGAGCAUAUGCUUGGUUAGAUUAAUAGCUAGGGAGGGAGGAAUUUAUAAUAGGGACCCAUAUUUAUCCAAAAUCAAGCAGCAGUGCAUUUGUAAUGGCAGGCUGCUCAAAGAAUGAAACAGAGACUUAUAGCUGUGAAUAGACUGGAAAUGCAUUACAAUUCUUGAAUGUAUUUUUUUUUUCCUUUUAAAACAUUCCUUGAAUAUGUGAACUAAAGAUUUUGUCCUCAUAAUUGAUUUACCUGGUAUGAUCUUGAACUCUUUAACAUCAUCUGAAUAUUAUCAGACACUGAAAACUUGUUAUCAGCAUGUGAACAGAGGUGUUUGGGUAUUGGCAGUUAUUGCAGUUGAUAAUCAAGGUACUCAAAUACUCAACAAAAGUUAAGCAGGCACUCUAUGUGACU